AGUGGCUUAACCCCAACUAUGCCGUGGACACCCUCUGAUGGAGUGACUUUGACAUAGUCAAAGAUCAAGGACCUAACCACAAGACAACUAUGAUGCCUCAGGUCAAAGGACUACUUUGCAUUAUGCCAACCAUGAGUUCUCAUGUGACAAUAAUGACUUGUCUUUUGAGUGGAGUGGACUCAUUCUCUAUUGAGCACCUACAUGCUUGUCUUGGUGUCAGUCACACCAAUGACUCGAGACCAGUCGCUCUCCAUAAAAGAAGACAUAACACGUACUGAUCUUAACGGACUGUCAAUGCCCAAUUGGCAAUCCUAUGAUCAGGAACGUUUAGGAUAUGUAUACGGAAGAGAAUGGUCUCAUGAAUCUAACUUCUUUACAUCGCAUUCUCCCAAUUACAUAUUCGUUGGACUUAUCCUUUAAGCGUAUAACAUUUAUAUGAGAUGGCUUCAAACAAUAAUCUUUGCCCUUUAAAUUAAACUAUAUUAGUUUAACAUGUGAAAUGUCCAUAAAGUAUCAUCAUAUGAUUGGUUUUAGGGCACAUUUCCAACAAUCUCCCACUUGCACUAGAGCCAAUCAGCUUGGUCAUCAAUGAUGAUACCUCUUCUAUAGUCAUUUCAAAAAUGGCUGAGUAGUAGGCCUAGACAAUGGAUAUCUAUAUGUUAUCCAUAGAAGCAACCUUGAGAAUAACGACGUCACCAUUAUACAUGAUUCUUAAUCAUGUGGUUUAGUCUCUCAUUUGAGUUCGAAUCUUGAUGAGACCUUAAUUCCCUGGCUUGAGCUAUCGCCCCAUUAGUGUCAUAGUGUUGGUACACUGGAGACACUUUCUGGUUGGAACUGAAUAGAGAGUUCAUAAAUGAACUUUCCCAUCCAAACAACAUUGUUGUAAGCUUCUAUAUGGCAAUAUAUUUUGCAUUCACAAUGGAACACACUAAAGUCAUUACGUUUAAUGUUUCCAUCCAAAUAUCUCUUUAGUCAUAAUAAAAGAAUGUCUGAUUAUCUUUUCAUUCAUAAUGAAGAAACAUCCAAUGAUGGAUUAGAUUCAUAAUCUAAUACAUUUACGCUUCCAUUACGUUACUCUAAUUCUUCCUCGUUCUUUGAGGAAUAUAUCCUUUAGUAUUUCUUAAAUACUUAAGGACUCACUUGACAGUUGCCAUGGUUCUGAUCCUGGGCUUGCAUUUAUAUCGUCUUGUACCGAUCUUGGUACAACUCAUAUCAAUGUUUUUCAUACAAUAUGAAAUACGUAAAUCACCUUUCUGCGUAUGCAUAAAGGAUUCUAUUUAUGCAUUAUGUUUCUUUAGGAGUCAAAAUGGUACGUUCCCUUUGAGAAGAGCACCUUCCUAGUCUCACUAGAGUUGUCCUUCUGAUUGAAGUUUAUCAUCAUAUGAGAAACUUCCUAGCAUCUUUUGUCUAUCAUUAGGGCUUGAUAUAAUCCAAUUAUAUCCUGAAAUCUAUCAUUAUAGAUUUCCAUCCCAUGUUUAUAGACUAUGUCUCCCAUACAUUCUAUCGUUAUAGAAUGUUUAAAGUCAUAACUUUAACGAAGAAGUAUUAUUUUCAUUUCCAAAAUUAAUAUAUCAUAUAUGUACAUAUAUACAUACAUACAUACAUAUAUAUAUAUAUAUAUAUAUAUAUAUAUUCAAAUUUAGGAACAUGAUUAACUCCCACUAAUCUUUUGUAAACCUAGUAAACAAAAGAUUCAUUUACAUCUUUAUGAGAAAUCAAACGAUUUGAUCUUUCUCUCAUAAGAUGCUUAUAGCUCCCACUAGCUUGCUAAGAUUCAUGAUGGAUGGAUCUCUACAACUUACAUGUCUUGUGAUUCAUAGUUUUAGACAUAUAUUAUCAAGACUAUCUUAAUAAUGGUUUCGGAAACCCAUAUUAUGUCCAAACAUUGAAUCACCAUUUAGUUGUAGCUAGCAAUCUUUGAAUUAAUUGAAACCAAGACUAUGUCAAAGAUGGUUUCUUCCAAGUCAACCGUUCUCUUUGAUUGUAGUCACCUUAAGCUACCAAUUAGCUAUGAAGGUUUCAUUAUUUCGGGUCAAAUGGUACUUUACCAUUUUCUUGAGUAUAUGUCGUAUAUACACUCAAUGUAAUCAUAAAGUUCAAACCAUUCAACUGAGAUAGUUUAUAAAUCCUUCUCGACUACCUUGGAGCUUGUGGUGUAGGAACUAGGUUGUUAUAUUUGUUGAUUAUCAUCUUGUCUCUCAAAGAACCCAUUCUUUGAGUUCUAUCUCUCGUUCAUUUGCGCUUAGGCAAAUCAUAUUGUAGGAUUACAAUGAACUACCCAACAAAACAACAUUUGUUAGUUGGUUUAUAGAAGUGAUAUCCAAAGGUUAAUUUAAGGAUAUCCCCAAGAUAAUUCUCAAACAAAUAUUGCUUAUUAGCACACAACCCCAAAUCUUAACACGAUGAAGACUUAUCUUUCUUUCCAACUACAUCCUAUGGAGUCAUGAAAAUUUUGGAAGAUCUUCUAAUUGACAAUCAUAUUGUCUUAGACAAUCAUAUUGUCUUAGACAAUCAUAUUGUCUUAGAAGUAUAUCCUAUAUAUGGGUAAUUGAUAACAUCCAACAAACUAAAUCUUAUUCAAGUUCGUUCUUCUCCUAAUGGAGAAAUCCAUUAUCUUAUGAUGCUACUUUCCUUGAUAUCUUUCAAGGAAACUGUUCCAAAGUGUUACCUUUCCUUGGAACAAAUCUAAGGAGGCAAAUACUUUCGACGUCUUACUCAUCAACUUACAUUCUUGAAUUCUUUGAAACCUUUUGCAAAGUAUUUGGACUUGUGUUUAUUCAAAAUAAAUGAUAGUCCAACCGAGAGCGAUCUCCGAUGAAUGUCAUACAACAUGAGUAGUAUUAUGUUGUGGACAAGUGCGACUAACAUCUAAGUGAAUUAAGCUCAACAACUUUGUGAUUCUUUCUUCCUUUGCAAAAGAAUAUAGAUUCAAACAUUUUGCCUCUUUACAAUUUUAACAAGAAGGCAUUGGAUCCGGAUCUAACGAUCCAAAGCAUCCAUCUAUGACCAACUCGUAAUUUAUGUUUUAGAGGUAUCACAACUCAGUUGGGAUUUGUCACUACCUUGCAACCUUUUGGGUUUCAAGCAUCGUUAUAUUCUAAACAGUUAACACUACCAUAUUAUCUCUACUAUAGAGAUAAUCAAUUAGAUUACAAUAAUCUAAUCAUUCAUUAAUAAAGAACAAUGUUUUGUCAAACAAAACAUUCAUCCAUUUCUCAUACGGAAUUAAGUUUCUUUAUUCAAAUUGGAAUGUAAAGAAAAUCUUUGUUUUUCCAUUUUCUUUGGUAGUUCAUAUGAGGAAGUAAGUACUACCUACUUUCGCAGAGAUCUAUAUUUGAUUCACGUUCCGAAUGUGAAGUACUUUCUCUUCUCUCAUUAAUCUUCUACUUCUUAUUAGCCACACUUUUACAACGAUUGUAAAACAUAGUUACUAAUACGGAAUCAAGCAUUCAAGUAGAAGAACCAACUGUUUUGAACUUUUCAAGAACAAUUUACAACACCUUCGAAAUGUGUGUUCUUGACACUUGCAAGACAUUUCUUGCAAAUACCCUUUCCAAUGUCCAUCCGUUCAUAAAGAAAGUUUGUUCCCUUGGAGUUAUUUCCCCUUCUUCAUUUGACUUCUCCUUUGACUACAAUAGUCAUGGUCCCUAAACUCCCACUAUCUCUCUUGGAACUUAUUUCAAUUGUGUUAUACACAUCAAACGAUUUGGAGAGCGUGUGGUUAUUCUUCACUAUAUAGUUUAUAAUAAACUUAGUGAACCAUUUGGAUAGGGACAUGAAAGUGAAGUCCUUCCCUAGUUUCCGUCUCUAGAAGUGGUUUAACACUUCAACACUCAAUGACUCAAAAUCAUCAUAAGUCCAUGUUGAUGGACUAUUUUUGUCAACCAACCAUUAUGUUCUAAACAUAAUUACAAACUUUCAAGAGUUGUUCAAGGUAACUCUCAUUUCUUCAUACAACAAUUUGUAAGUGAAGAAUCAUGGCACAUAAAGUGGCCAUGCCCUUGUGCUUACUUCUCAAGUUCCUUGUUCAUGUAACAAAGAAACAAGCACUAAUGUUUGCGUUAGCUAAGGGUUGUUCAAAGAAAAUCUUAUUUCUUCAUACAACAAUUUGUAAUUGAAGAAUUAUGACAUUAAAAGUGUUGUCCUCUUUAUGAUAGACUUAUCUAACAUGUUCUUCCAAUGAUACAUUUUCAAUAGGAAGAUUGUGAGGAUGAGACUACUUAGGUACAUAUACAAGCCAUUAUAGACAAUCUAUGGUAUUGUAGUACCAAGUCCGGAAACUAAAGCUUUCGGCUUUUUCUUUGUCAAGUUUUGGAUAGUGUUUGUAAAUAUAUUGGUAAAUAAAAAUAUAACGAAUAUAAAUUGAUUGAUUUUAAGCCAUUUGAUCCGGGUCUUUAAAUCAAAUAGCACCACCCACUAUUUUUGGCAAAUUUCAUAUCCCUCAUCGGAAUUCGAGAGUUUUGGAGGAAACUCUUAGUAGGGUAUGGGAGACUCAUCAUUACCAAGCCCACCUCACAAUGAUAUGAUGUUGGCUAGCAUCAAUAAUAAUGAGAAAGUACGCUUACUCAUUUGCAUCUCUUGCAAGUACCCAUCUUAUUUGGCCUCUAGAGAAUGAAGCCUCACAAUGAUAUGAUGUUGGCUCCAUUGCACUUAGUUAAGUCAUUCCCACCAUGCAAGUUCGAGUAGGGGUUCAAGAACAACCUCACAAUGAUAUGAUGUUGAUCAUUCUCGUUGCCUACCUUCACAACAUCAUGUAUUCAUAUAGAACUCCUCCUGAGUGUAAGCACGCACUUUGUACUCCCCCAUGAUAGGGUGAAAUCGGUGUACGAGUCACAAACAAUUGGAGCCUACCACGGUGGAAGGGGACGAAAGAGUGUUCAAAGCACUCUCACGCUUAUCAACUUAAUAAUGGUUUGGUUGAGGGUUUUUGGUCUCAUCACAUAUAAGCAUGCAUUUUAAUCUUAUUAAAACAAUUUGGUCCUAUUACAACUAUUGGUCCAUGUGAUUGAUUUAGUUGUACAUGAUACUCCCACUAUGCUUGUAAAACGGUUUUUAAAGCAAGAGUAUAUGGUACUACUAACAUAAGGUUUGCAUUCAUUGAUGGACUAUAUAGUUGCCUUAGGGCCUUAGGAUGACUAUGAACCUUUGAUUCGAUCCAACACGAGCCUAGUGUUGAAUCUCGGUCUAGGGAUGGUGAUUGAUUUUAGUUACGCGUUUAAUCACAUUAAGGCGUGUUUUUCCUAUUAGGCAUUGGACCCAACUACUCCAAUUUCAUGCAUAUCAAAUAAAACAAGGAAGGAGUGCUUCAAAGUAAAGAAAAGCUUAUGCUCUUUUACAACAUUUGAUCAAAACAAAUUACUUUAAAGUAAAGAAGAGCUUAUGCUCUUUUAGAACAUUUGAUCAUAUCAAAUUACAACCAAAAUCUAAUCUACACAUUCCCAUGGUUCAAACAAAUUUGAGACGGGCCUUUCACAUAGCUCAAUUAUCGUAGGCUUAGGUUCAUAAUCACCUUUCUUUAAUUAAUUAGCGCUUUAACUAAUUAAACUUGAAUGCAACAUUUUCAUUUGGUUUUUGUUUCCAUAGAAUUGAUUUAAAUAGAGCUAAAUGAAAUGAAAAUCCAAUUCUCAUUUAAAGAUACAAAACUAUUUUGUUCUCAACUAAUUGGGCCGAAAAGCAAUAACCUCAACCAUUGGGCUAUUUUGCAAAACACAAACUUUUGAGGUCCCUUUGUAAAAACACAAAAGUCCACUACUUCACGUAAUUACAACUAGAAACCAAAAAUUUCAACAAAUGCAAAAACUUCAUUAAAGGAGCAAAACAAUUUGUCCUUUAGUGAUUUUGGGCCUUUACGUAAAAACGUAAACUUUCAGGUCAAAGUACAAAUACACAAAAGUAUCAAAACUUUAUGUAAUUGCAUAAAAGCCCCAAAAGUACCCUAUUUAAUAGGGUGGCCUAUUUUGGAUGAGAGAUGGUGUCAUAAAAUUUUUGAAUUUUUCAACAAAAGUGAAAGGUUAUGGGUAGGUUUGAAAAAGUGAUUUCCAUAAAACAUGGUUCCUUGAAACAAGGAAAAUGUGUAAGUGAUUGGUAUGGUGUUGAUUGAAAAACACAAAUCAUGUCAUACCAUUUAUUAUAAUAAAGUCACACCAACCACCAUAAACAAAACUUUAUGAAAAACAUCAAACACUUUGAAUCAAAACACCAAACCUUUUUGUUCUUGGUUAGAACAUAACAAGAACAAUGAAGAACAUCCAUGAAAACCCAUAAGAGCUCCAUGAACAUUUUUCACCCAAAGACACCCCAAAAACUCUCAAACUUAAGGGAAAAAACAUAUUACCAUACUAGGGUACUUAGGGGUUCCUAAUGUCACUUUAAAACACUUUUAACAAGACAAACAUGAACCCAAAAAUCCACCCUUUGGAUUUGGCCGAAUUUCCCCAAAACAUGGCACCAAAUUUUAGCUCCAAAAUUCAUGCUCAUAUGAACUACAUCUACAACAUUUGAGAUGGCAAAUUUUCUAACAAAAUUUACAUUCAAAGAAGCAAGAAUAAAGCUUGUAACAAUUACAACAUUCAAAUCAUAAACUAUGAAAAUACAAAACCCAAAAGGAUUCACCAACUACUAGACCUAGGCUCUUGAUACCACUUGAAGGAAAUUUUGUGAAAAACAUGUUCAUUUGAGCAACAUCUAUGGCAUGCAAUUAACAAUUAAAGGCGGAAUCAUGCUUGUAUGCACUCAAAAACAAAACAUUACCCAUGAAAUUCAAAGCCUGGUAGAAGGGUGAACCAAGACUCAACUCAAACAAAGUGAGUUGAGAAACUUUAUACCUUUGUUGAUUCCUCUUUUCAUAAGCAAAGGCUAAUCACCCAAGGAGAGGGCCUUCAUUCUUGCUUCUUAGCUCCAUGGAUUUCUUGGAUGAGGAUGAUUGAAAGGAUUCUCCAAGUUCCCAAAGUUGAGAACCUCUAAGUCUCCACACCAAGGUAUGACUUGAAGAAGAGAUGAGUGACCUAGAGGAAGUAAGAUUGCUAGCUAAAAUCCUCUAGGGUGGCCGGCCUCUUAGAGAGAAAAAUGGAGCUUGUGUUCUCAUCUUUUCUCUAAAAGAAACCCUAAGGAUGAAAUGGCUCUAAAGUUGCCUUUAUACCACCUCACAAUGGAGUGGCAAACUUGCAAUUAAGCCAAGUUCACUACCCCUCUCUAUAUGGCAGGUUUUCCCAAGCCUUUGGGCUGUUUUGGGCUUCUCAAAUUUUGUUUGUUAAGUUGUCAUACAACUUAAGCUAAUGGGCUUGACAAUUCGAAGCCCAAUUUGGGCUUUAAGGCCCAAAACUAACUCAAGGUUUAAAACGAACUUAUUCAUUUGAUUAAUUAACAUAUUAAUUAAUUCUUUCCAUAAACAAUUAAACCAUUUAAUUGUCCUUACUCAUCUCCAUUGUUUCUUCAAUCUCUACCUUACACGGUGUACGAUCCAUUAGGUUCCUUUUAGCGAGGUAGUGGGCGAUUAGAACUCUUUCAAAUUGAUUGUGAAUUGAAACUUACUUUCAAUUCUCCCUUUAGUGAUUAUACACAUUUAGGGCUCCACAAACCAUGAGUGACACCUAGCAGUAUGUCAUGGUUACCCAAGCUAAUCAGAAGAGGUGGAUAACCUAUUCAGUUUAGGAUUACAAUGCAAUACGGUCUUUCUCUAAUACAAUACUCUUGACCACAUUGUUUGGUUUGAUAGUUUAUUCAUGUCUACUAUCCAAUGUGAUUCUCUUACUUAUAUGAUUACCUUGAAUGUGAUUUGGAACGACUUCCUAAAUCUUAUUCAUACUCUGGCCAGAGAUUCUUAAUCAUAUCAUAGAGUAUUCUCCCUCAAACAGUUUGAAGGUUAGAGAUCCCUUGUUGCGCAUUCACUUGCCUCCAUGGCUAAGUUGCUUAACCCCAACUAUGCCGUGGACACCCUCUGACGGAGUGACUUUGACAUAGUCAAAGAUCAAAGACCUAACCACAAGACAAUUAUGAUGCCUCAGGUCAAAGGACUACUUUGCAUUAUCCCAACCAUGAGUUCUCAUGUGACAUGAGUAUGAGAACUCUGAUAGGAGCAUUUUUAUGCGACUUAAUUGGCUUGUUCUCAUGCAUUUAUGUUAUUUUUCCUUAGUUAGUUUA
rnacentral:lncRNA from 1 species